rnacentral:rRNA from 1 species
UACGAAGGGGGCGAGCGUUGUUCGGAUUUACUGGGCGUAAAGGGCGCGCAGGCGGCCGCAUUUGUCAGGCGUGAAAGCCCCGGGCUUAACCUGGGAACUGCGUUUGAUACGGUGCGGCUAGAGUUCGGGAGAGGAGAGUGGAAUUCCCAGUGUAGAGGUGAAAUUCGUAGAUAUUGGGAAGAACACCGGUGGCGAAGGCGGCUACUCUGGACCGAUACGUGACGCUGAGGCGCGAAAGCGUGGGGAGCAAAGCAGGAUUAAGAAACCCUGGGGUAGUC